CUAGCUUGGCGGGCCUUG
rnacentral:tRNA from 1 species